rnacentral:rRNA from 1 species
AUUAAGCAUAUCAAUAAGCGGAGGAAAAGAAACCAACAGGGAUUGCCCCCAGUAACGGCGAGUGAAGCGGCAACAGCUCAAAUUUGAAAUCUGGCCCCCAGGGCCCGAGUUGUAAUUUGCAGAGGAUGCUUUUGGCGAGGUGCCUUCCGAGUUCCCUGGAACGGGACGCCACAGAGGGUGAGAGCCCCGUCUGGUCGGAUACCGAGCCUCUGUAAAGCUCCUUCGACGAGUCGAGUAGUUUGGGAAUGCUGCUCUAAAUGGGAGGUAUAUGUCUUCUAAAGCUAAAUACCGGCCAGAGACCGAUAGCGCACAAGUAGAGUGAUCGAAAGAUGAAAAGCACUUUGAAAAGAGGGUUAAAUAGUACGUGAAAUUGUUGAAAGGGAAGCGCUUAUGACCAGACUUGGGCCCGGUGAAUCAUCCAGCGUUCUCGCUGGUGCACUUUGCCGGGCUCAGGCCAGCAUCAGUUUGCCCCGGGGGAUAAAGGCUCUGGGAACGUGGCUCCUCCGGGAGUGUUAUAGCCCACUGCACAAUACCCUGGGGCGGACUGAGGUUCGCGCAUCUGCAAGGAUGCUGGCGUAAUGGUCAUCAGCGACCCGUCUUGAAACACGGACCAAGGAGUCGUCUUCGUAUGCGAGUGUUCGGGUGUCAAACCCCUACGCGUAAUGAAAGUGAACGCAGGUGAGAGCUUCGGCGCAUCAUCGACCGAUCCUGAUGUUCUCGGAUGGAUUUGAGUAAGAGCAUACGGGGCCGGACCCGAAAGAAGGUGAACUAUGCCUGUAUAGGGUGAAGCCAGAGGAAACUCUGGUGGAGGCUCGCAGCGGUUCUGACGUGCAAAUCGAUCGUCAAAUAUGG